CGAUCUCCUAACCCUGUGAUCCGCCCGCCUCCGCCUCCCAAAGUGCUGGGAUUACAGGCGUGAGCCACCGCGCCCAGCCAAAAACAAAAUUCAAGAUCAUUCAAGAUCAUUCAAGAUCAGCAGCCAAGUGUGUCUUCAGACUUGACUCUAUAUGCUUUAUUAUUUCCUCAAGUUAUAAGUUAAAUGAUACACAGACAGUAUAUUUUCUGACUCAUUUUCAUGGUAAGUCUUGCUGUUCACUUUCAAAUGUUUCAAAAAUUGUGCCUUGAUAUAAAAUUUUUGCUUCACAGUUCUUACCUCCAGCAUGAUGGAGUUGAAGUUUCACAAAUAUUCUUCCCCAAAAAGUUACAAUAAAGUAGUACAAUUAACUGUCAAAAACAUGAAUUUCAACACUGGAUAUUGACUAAAGGCACACAAACUAUAAGAAGCGUUUGUUCAUGAAAAUGACCCACGUUUAGGUGACACUCUAGCAUUCAGUCCCAAGUCCCCUCCCUAGACUGGUGGUGAGUUCAUCCAGCUCAAUGGGGGUGGUAAAAGCCAGCAUCUGCCUGGUGGAGGCUCACCUAGGUGCGGAACAGAGCUAGCAGCUCCUCCUAGGAUGCAGUUCUCUUUGCAGCAAGCAAAGGCGCAGAAGAUUCACUGAGGAUUUAACUGUAAGUGUUAGAAGGUAUUGCAUUUUGAGAUAAUUAGAUUCAAAUUCAGUUGUAGAGAGACAAUACAAGGAGGAGAUCAUUGUGGUUUUAAUUUGCAUUUCCCUAAUGGUGUUAAACCUCUUUUGAUAUGCUUAUUUUCCCAUCUGUAAGUCUUCAUAACAUCUUCAGCCAAAUGCCUCUUCCAACCUUUUGCCAAUUUUUCACUUGAAUAAUUGCUUGCUUUAUUCCUGCUGAGUUGUGAGAGUUCCUUUCUUUUAACUUUUAUUUUAGGUUCAGGGGUACAUGCGCAGGUUUGUUAUAUAGGUAAAUUGCAUGUCAUGUAAACAGGAGUUUGGUGUACAGACUGUUUCACCACCCAGGUAAUAAACAUAGUACCCAAUAAGGUAGUUUCUUGAUCCUCCUCCUCCUCCCUCUCUCCACUCUCAAGCAGGCCCUGGGGUCUGCUCUUCCCUUCUUUGUGUCCAUAUGUACUCAAUGUUUAGCUCCCACUUAUAGGUGAGAACAUGCGGUAUUUGCUCUUUUGUUCCUGUGUUAGUUCAUUUAGGAUAAGGGCCACCAGCUCCAUCCAUGUUCCUGCAAAGGAUAUGAUUUCAUUCUUUUUUAUAGCAGCAUAGUAUUCCAUGGUGUAGAUUUACCACAUUUUCUUUAUCCAGUCUACCACUGAUGUGCAUUUAGGUUGACUCCAUGUCUUUGCUAUUGUGAAUAGUGCUGCAAUGAACAUAUGCAUGCAAUCUUUUUGACUUUUUGCUUAAAAUGUUUGCUGAUCCUUUGUUUCAUUUUUCAUAGUCUUAGAACUUUUAAUCUAUUGACAACUUUUAACAAUUUAGUAUACUCCUAUGAACAAAAUUUGGAACAUAUUUGAUGCUCUCUACCUGAUUUUUCCAGAAUUUGGAAAUAUUUGUGAGUAUUCUUAACUUAUGGCAAUACAGUUAUUUGCGCAAGUGCAAUAAGAAUCUGCUUUCAUUUGUAACAGGACACAACUGGAGAAACUGGUUAUUUUACCAAGGAUUUGACUGGAAUGGUGUGCUUUCCUUUAAGGAAUCGAACUUGACUUAUGAAGACAAUAAAGCCCUUGGGAAAACUGGCCUCAUAUUUUGUGCACACAGUCCCUGUACAGGGUUUCUAAUCUAUGAUAAGUAAAGAAUGUGACUCUCUGACAGGCCCAGAAGCCCCAGGUUUAUCUUGGAACCUCAAGAGGAGAGGAAAUUCACAUAACUCAUAGGUAUUUGAUGGCACAAUCUAUGGCUGGGCAUGGCUUUAAAAAGGUCUUAUCUGAGAUUCCUUCUAUGGAACAAAGUUCCAUCAAAGCCAAUCUAAAGGCCUAAAAAAUAAUUACUCUUGCUGCACUGUAUAUAAAUAAUUAAGCCAAGUAUAAUAAAGCAAACCAGUCCUACCAUGAUUUGUCUUUAGUACAAAUGGGAACUGGAGAGGGAGAAAAAAAUUAUGUUUCAAAACUAUAGUAACACUAGUUGUUAGAUUCUAAUCUUGCCUAAUGUUUUUUUUUCAGUUUUUAUUAUUUUCUACAGUUUGAACCAAAUUCUAAUUUUUCUUGGCUAUAAGUCUUCAAAAUAAUGUUUUCCAUUUUUUUCUUCUUUUUUUUUUCAUUUUUCCUAAUUUGGAGUCACUGAAAACUAAGCUGUGCUUUCUUAGAACCCUGCAAACUGAAGCCAGACAACUUAAACUUCAGAAGAAAAUAACAACAACCUGUUUAUAUACCUAAGCCACUUUCAUACCCAUCUACUAAUGUAUGGACUUCAGAAUAAUGUGGCCUAUAUCGAUUUUUCCAGGAUCGUUCUUCAGUUUGUUGUUUUUUCUCCCUUUCUCUCCCCUAUUUUCUCUUCGCAGGACACAACCUGCUAAAAAUGAGCUUUCAGGACCUACCCCUCUAGGAAUAAACUAUCAGAGCCAUAAGAGAUCAGAUGAAACCUGAGAUCACACUCAUUUUCUUGUAAAAUGCUUCCUCCAAAAGAGUUUACGAAGAGGGGGGAAAUGUGAAAGGAAAUUAUAUUGGGCCCCCCAAAUCACUAAGAAAAACUCAACCUGGAAACUGCUUAGAGCAAAUCUGCCUCUCAUUCUAUUCAAAGUCACCCCUCUGUUCACAGAGAUAGAUGCAUAUCUGAUCGCCUUCUUUGGAAAGGCUAAUCAGAAACUCAAAAGAAUGCAACCGUUUGUGUCUCAUCUAUCUGUGACCUGGAAGCUCCCUCCCCACUUUAGGUCUUCCUGCCCUUGCUUCAAGAUGUCCCGCCAUUCCAGAUCAAACCAAUGUACUUCUUACAUAUAUUGAUUGAUGUCUCAUGUCUCCCUAAAAUAUAUAAAGCCAAGCUGUGCCCCGACCACCUUGGGCACAUGUUGUCAGGACUUCCUGAGGCUGCGUCAUGGGCAUGUCCUCAACCUUGGCAAAAUAAACCUUCUGAAUUAACUGAGACCUGUCUCAGAUUCUCUGGGUUCACACUUCUCUCCACCUUUCAAGGUUUUCUCAUGUUUGUUUAUAUAAAAUGUCCAGGAUUUUUGGUUAUACUAAGCAGAAGGAAUAGGGAAAAGUAUAUUUUCCAGAAGAGAAACAUAGUUUUGAUUUAAUAUUAAUAUCAUUAUUCUUUUAUUUAACAGUAAUCAUUUUGAGGUCCCCUUUCUUCUUAGGGUUCAUGAUAGUUUCCUGUGUUAAUUUAUACUAUAGCAUAACAAAUUAACACAAACAAACAGCCUUAAAACCACACAUAGGUAUUUGCUUCCUAGGUUCCCUGGGGCUUAGAUGCAUCUUGUGCUCAGAGUUUCACAAAGCUGAAAUCCAGGGUCAAAGUCUCCCAUGGUGCUGGGAGCUCUGUUCAAGCUCAGUCCGUUCGUUGACAGAAACCAGUUCCUCGAAAUUGUAGGACUUCUGCUUUCAGCUCCUAGAGGCAGGGCCGCAGACAGUUCAAACCUUGACUCUUCCCUUUCUUCAAGGUCUCUAUGAUUCAAAGCUUUCCCUUCAGGAAAGACCUGGCCUUUUUUUCUUUUUGAAGGGCUUACCUGAUUAGGUGAAGCCUACCUGGAAAAAUCUUGUUUUUGGUUAACUCAGGUAAACCAAUUAGGGAAUUUACAUGAGUCUGCAAAAACCCCUGUCCUGUGCCACGUAAGCAGCCUCCUCAUAAGAGCAGAAUCCCAUGGUAUUCACAAAGUCCCACCCACACUCACAGAGGGGAUAUACAGGCCAAGGUAGAAUUCUGCCUGUCACAGUUCUUCUAUUUCUUUCUGGAGUUCACACAUGAGAUUUUAACGAAUCAGAGAACGAUAUUUAUAUACGAUGUGAUGCAGGGAUCCCACUUCAUUUCCCACUAUAGGAUAAAUAAUUGUGCAAGCCCCAUUUAUUGAUUAGUUCAUUCUUUCCUUAGUGACCUGCUGUGCCACCUUGAGAUAUGCCAGGUGUAACCAUAUAUGUCUGUUUCUGUUUCUAAGGUGUAUUUACUUCAUUGGUCAGUUUAUCUAUGCCUGUUCCAAGGCUGAAUUUUAAUUUAUAUAUCGGUAUAAGCUCUGAUAAUCUAGAAAAGAAAAUUCACUGCCUGUGGCUGUUCUCAUGCCUUUUAUUUCUCAUAUUAGCUUUAGUAUAAAAGUGACUUGAAAAACUCUUUCAGGGGGCGAGUGUGGUGCCUCACGAGUGUGGUGCCUCACACCUGUAAUCCCAGCACUUUGGGAGGCCGAGGCAGGCAGAUCACCUGAGGUCAGCAGUUCAAGACCAGCCUAACCAACAUAGUGAAACCCCAUCUCUACUAAAAUUACAAAAAUUAGCUGGGCGUGGUGGCAGGCACCUGUAAUCCCAGCUACUCGUGAGGCUGAGGUGGGAGAAUCGCUUGAACCCGGGAGGCAGAAGUUGCAGUGAGCCAAGAUUGUGCCACGCCACUCCAACCUGGGCAACAGAGUGAGACUCCAUCUCAAAAAAAAAAAAAGAAAAGAAAAAGAAAAAAGAACCCUUUCAGGAUUUGCAUUGAUGUUGCAGUUUAUUUGUAAAUAAAUUAGAGAAAAAUUAAAUCUUUAUAUUUGUGCAUCUUGCUAUCUAUAAAUAUAGUAAAUAUCUCCAUUUAUUUAAAUUUUCUUUGUCUUCAAUAAAUUAUUCAAUUGGCUCUUUACAAAUCUAGAAUGUAUUUUAUUAAUUUUCCCCUAGAUACCC
rnacentral:lncRNA from 10 species